CUAGGACACCCUUGUAAUCCUAAACCCUAAACCUAACCCCUAAACUCUAAACUAGGCACACCCUUGUAACCCUAAACCCUAAACCCAAAAUCCUAAAUUACAUUUUUUCACAAAUUAUAAAGCAUUUACUAAUUUGGAUUAUCACAUUUUUAUUUUUUUGUAGACAAUAUGUAAAUUUUAUAGUUUUUUUUUGUGCUUAAAAGUUUCAUUUAUUAUAGUUUCAAGGAUUUCAUUUAAAAGUAUGAUUUUUUGAUGUAGAAUUGCAUUAUUUUCCCACAUAUAUCUUCCCACUCAUAUUUUCCC
rnacentral:lncRNA from 1 species